GUGGGACUCGCAAGGCCACAUGCCAUGAGAAGAGCCCAAGUCGGGAUUAGGUAGUUCGGUGGGGUAAAAGGCCUACCAAGCCGAACGAUUCUCUAGCUGGUCUGAGAGGAUGAACCAGCCACACCGGGACUGAGACACGGCCCGGACUCCUACGGGAGGCAGCAGUGGGGAAAUAUUGCGCAAUGGGGGCAACCCCGACGCAGCCAUGCCGCGUGAAUGAAGAAGGCCUUCGGGUUUGUAAAGUUCUUUCGGUGACGAGGAAGGUUGUUGUGUUAAUAGCGCAACAAAUUGACGUUAAUCACAGAAGAAGCACCGGCUAACUCCGUGCCAGCAGCCGCGGUAAUACGGAGGGUGCGAGCGUUAAUCGGAAUAACUGGGCGUAAAGGGCACGCAGGCGGCUAUUUAAGUGAGGUGUGAAAUCCCCGGGCUUAACCUGGGAAUUGCAUUUCAGACUGGGUAGCUAGAGUACUUUAGGGAGGGGUAGAAUUCCACGUGUAGCGGUGAAAUGCGUAGAGAUGUGGAGGAAUACCGAAGGCGAAGGCAGCCCCUUGGGAAUGUACUGACGCUCAUGUGCGAAAGCGUGGGGAGCAAACAGGAUUAGAUACCCUGGUAGUCCACGCUGUAAACGCUGUCGAUUUGGGGAUUGGGCUUUAAGCUUGGUGCCCGUAGCUAACGUGAUAAAUCGACCGCCUGGGGAGUACGGCCGCAAGGUUAAAACUCAAAUGAAUUGACGGGGGCCCGCACAAGCGGUGGAGCAUGUGGUUUAAUUCGAUGCAACGCGAAGAACCUUACCUACUCUUGACAUCCAUGGAAUCCUGUAGGGAUAUGGGAGUGCCUUCGGGAACCAUGAGACAGGUGCUGCAUGGCUGUCGUCAGCUCGUGUUGUGAAAUGUUGGGUUAAGUCCCGCAACGAGCGCAACCCUUAUCCUUUGUUGCCAGCGAUUCGGUCGGGAACUCAAAGGAGACUGCCGGUGAUAAACCGGAGGAAGGUGGGGAUGACGUCGAGUUCAUCAUGGCCCUUACGAGUAGGGCUACACACGUGCUACGAAUGGCGUAUACAGAGGGUGACGAAAGCCGCGAGGUGGAGUGAAAUCUCAGAAAAGUACGUUCUAAGUUCCGGAUUGGAGUUCUGCGAACUCGACUCCGUGAAAGUUCGGAAUUCGCUAGUAAUCGCGAAAUCAGAAAUGUCGCGGUGAA
rnacentral:rRNA from 1 species